AAUAGAUACCCGGGUAGUCCACGCCCUAAACGAUGUCUACUAGUUGUUGGGUCUUAAUUGACUUAGUAACGCAGCUAACGCGUGAAGUAGACCGCCUGGGGAGUACGGUCGCAAGAUUAAAACUCAAAGGAAUUGACGGGGACCCGCACAAGCGGUGGAUGAUGUGGAUUAAUUCGAUGCAACGCGAAAAACCUUACCUACCCUUGACAUGUCAGGAACCUCCGAGAGAUUGGAGGGUGCCCGAAAGGGAACCUGAACACAGGUGCUGCAUGGCUGUCGUCAGCUCGUGUCGUGAGAUGUUGGGUUAAGUCCCGCAACGAGCGCAACCCUUGUCAUUAGUUGCUACGAAAGGGCACUCUAAUGAGACUGCCGGUGACAAACCGGAGGAAGGUGGGGAUGACGUCAAGUCCUCAUGGCCCUUAUGGGUAGGGCUUCACACGUCAUACAAUGGUACAUACAGAGGGCCGCCAACCCGCGAGGGGGAGCUAAUCCCAGAAAGUGUAUCGUAGUCCGGAUUGUAGUCUGCAACUCGACUACAUGAAGUUG
rnacentral:rRNA from 1 species